rnacentral:rRNA from 1 species
GAUGAACGCUGGCGGUCUGCUUAACACAUGCAAGUCGAACGGACUCUGUUUUUUCGGAAACAGAGUUAGUGGCGGACGGGUGAGUAACGCGUGAGAAUCUACCUUCAGGACGGAGAUAACAGAGGGAAACCGCUGCUAAUCCCCGAUGAGCCAUUACGGUAAAAGAUUUAUCGCCUGGAGAAGAGCUCGCGUCCGAUUAGUUAGUUGGUGGGGUAAAAGCCUACCAAGACAGCGAUCGGUAGCCGGUCUGAGAGGACAAUCGGCCACACUGGGACUGAGACACGGCCCAGACUCCUACGGGAGGCAGCAGUGGGGAAUUUUCCGCAAUGGGGGCAACCCUGACGGAGCAAGACCGCGUGGGGGAGGAAAGCCUUAGGGUUGUCAACCCCUUUUAUAUGGGAAGAACACAAUGACGGUACCAUAUGAAUCAGCCUCGGCUAACUCCGUGCCAGCCGCCGCCGUAACAC